AAAAAAAAAAAAAAAAAAAGAAUUAAAAAAAAAAGUACAGUUAUUGAAGAGCUAUUGUCCAAAAUUACCAUCGGGCUCAGAAAAUUUUUAUUGAAUUUUUAAAGUGUAGAUAAUUUCAGUGUAACUUACAUUGUUUUAAAACACAAAGAAAAAACUUCUAGAAGCUUUUAAAUGAAGGGAAUAUAACAUUAUUCUGCAAUAGGACUGUUUGUGAAGAAACAAAUAAAAUAAAAAUAAAACGACAAUAACAACAACAAAAAGAAAAUAUAACAUUGAUACCAAAACCCAGUAAGAAUUGUCCAAAUUAAGAGAACUGGAAUAAUCUCAUUUCUGAAUAUCAAGGCAAAUCAGAAUGCUGUAAAUACAGUAAAAAUAUGAAAAUUCUUAGUAGAAAUUCAAG
rnacentral:lncRNA from 10 species